rnacentral:rRNA from 1 species
UGGGAAAGCUUUUGCGGUAUGGGAUGGGGUCGCGUCCUAUCAGCUUGAUGGCGGGGUAACGGCCCACCAUGGCUUCGACGGGUAGCCGGCCUGAGAGGGCGACCGGCCACAUUGGGACUGAGAUACGGCCCAGACUCCUACGGGAGGCAGCAGUGGGGAAUAUUGCACAAUGGGCGCAAGCCUGAUGCAGCGACGCCGCGUGCGGGAUGACGGCCUUCGGGUUGUAAACCGCUUUUGACUGGGAGCAAGCCCUUCGGGGUGAGUGUACCUUUCGAAUAAGCACCGGCUAACUACGUGCCAGCAGCCGCGGUAAUACGUAGGGUGCAAGCGUUAUCCGGAAUUAUUGGGCGUAAAGGGCUCGUAGGCGGUUCGUCGCGUCCGGUGUGAAAGUCCAUCGCUUAACGGUGGAUCCGCGCCGGGUACGGGCGGG